rnacentral:rRNA from 1 species
AACGAACGCUGGCGGCAUGCCUAACACAUGCAAGUCGAACGAGACCUUCGGGUCUAGUGGCGCACGGGUGAGUAACGCGUAAAGAACUUGCCUCUUAGACCGGGACAACAUUUGGAAACGGAUGCUAAUACCGGAUAUUAUGGUUUCUUCGCAUGGGGGAAUCAUGAAAGCUACAUGCGCUAAGAGAGAGCUUUGCGUCCCAUUAGCUCGUUGGUGAGGUAACGGCCCACCAAGGCAAUGAUGGGUAGCCGGCCUGAGAGGGUGAACGGCCACAAGGGGACUGAGAUACGGCCCUU